CAGCAGCCGCGGUAAUACAGAGGUCUCAAGCGUUGUUCGGAAUCACUGGGCGUAAAGGGUGCGUAGGCCGCACGGUAAGUCAGAGGUGAAAUCCCGGAGCUCAACUUCGGAAUUGCCUCCGAUACUGCCGUGCUUGUGGACUGGAGAGGAGAUUGGAAUUCACAGUGGAGCAGUGAAAUGCGUAGAUAUUGUGAGGAACACUAGUGGCGAAGGCGAAUCUCUGGACAGUUCCUGACGCUGAGGCACGAAGGCCAGGGGAGCAAACGGGAUUAGAUACCCCGGUAGUCCUGGCAGUAAACGGUGCACGCUUGGUGUGGCAGGAAUCGACCCCUGCCGUGCCGGAGCUAACGCGUUAAGCGUGCCGCCUGGGAAGUACGGUCGCAAGAUUAAAACUCAAAGGAAUUGACGG
rnacentral:rRNA from 1 species